AAAUUGAAGAGUUUGAUCAUGGCUCAGAUUGAACGCUGGCGGCAGGCCUAACACAUGCAAGUCGAACGGUAACAGGAAGCAGCUUGCUGCUUUGCUGACGAGUGGCGGACGGGUGAGUAAUGUCUGGGAAACUGCCUGAUGGAGGGGGAUAACUACUGGAAACGGUGGCUAAUACCGCAUAACGUCGCAAGACCAAAGAGGGGGACCUUCGGGCCUCUUGCCAUCAGAUGUGCCCAGAUGGGAUUAGCUAGUUGGUGAGGUAACGGCUCACCAAGGCGACGAUCCCUAGCUGGUCUGAGAGGAUGACCAGCCACACUGGAACUGAGACACGGUCCAGACUCCUACGGGAGGCAGCAGUGGGGAAUAUUGCACAAUGGGCGCAAGCCUGAUGCAGCCAUGCCGCGUGUAUGAAGAAGGCCUUCGGGUUGUAAAGUACUUUCAGCGGGGAGGAAGGCGUUGUGGUUAAUAACCGCAGCGAUUGACGUUACCCGCAGAAGAAGCACCGGCUAACUCCGUGCCAGCAGCCGCGGUAAUACGGAGGGUGCAAGCGUUAAUCGGAAUUACUGGGCGUAAAGCGCACGCAGGCGGUCUGUCAAGUCGGAUGUGAAAUCCCCGGGCUCAACCUGGGAACUGCAUUCGAAACUGGCAGGCUUGAGUCUUGUAGAGGGGGGUAGAAUUCCAGGUGUAGCGGUGAAAUGCGUAGAGAUCUGGAGGAAUACCGGUGGCGAAGGCGGCCCCCUGGACAAAGACUGACGCUCAGGUGCGAAAGCGUGGGGAGCAAACAGGAUUAGAUACCCUGGUAGUCCACGCCGUAAACGAUGUCUACUUGGAGGUUGUGCCCUUGAGGCGUGGCUUCCGGAGCUAACGCGUUAAGUAGACCGCCUGGGGAGUACGGCCGCAAGGUUAAAACUCAAAUGAAUUGACGGGGGCCCGCACAAGCGGUGGAGCAUGUGGUUUAAUUCGAUGCAACGCGAAGAACCUUACCUGGUCUUGACAUCCACGGAAGUUUUCAGAGAUGAGAAUGUGCCUUCGGGAACCGUGAGACAGGUGCUGCAUGGCUGUCGUCAGCUCGUGUUGUGAAAUGUUGGGUUAAGUCCCGCAACGAGCGCAACCCUUAUCCUUUGUUGCCAGCGGUCCGGCCGGGAACUCAAAGGAGACUGCCAGUGAUAAACUGGAGGAAGGUGGGGAUGACGUCAAGUCAUCAUGGCCCUUACGACCAGGGCUACACACGUGCUACAAUGGCGCAUACAAAGAGAAGCGACCUCGCGAGAGCAAGCGGACCUCAUAAAGUGCGUCGUAGUCCGGAUUGGAGUCUGCAACUCGACUCCAUGAAGUCGGAAUCGCUAGUAAUCGUGGAUCAGAAUGCCACGGUGAAUACGUUCCCGGGCCUUGUACACACCGCCCGUCACACCAUGGGAGUGGGUUGCAAAAGAAGUAGGUAGCUUAACCUUCGGGAGGGCGCUUACCACUUUGUGAUUCAUGACUGGGGUGAAGUCGUAACAAGGUAACCGUAGGGGAACCUGCGGUUGGAUCACCUCCUUA
rnacentral:rRNA from 1 species